rnacentral:rRNA from 1 species
UACGUAGGGUGCGAGCGUUAAUCGGAAUUACUGAGCGUAAAGCGUGCGCAAGCGGUUCGUUGUGUCGGCGGUGAAAGCCCCGGGCUUAACCUGGGAAUGGCCGUUGAAACUGGCGAACUGGAGUGUGGCAGAGGGGGGUGGAAUUCCGCGUGUAGCAGUGAAAUGCGUAGAGAUGCGGAGGAACACCGAUGGCGAAGGCAGCCCCCUGGGCUAACACUGACGCUCAGGCACGAAAGCGUGGGGAGCAAACAGG